rnacentral:rRNA from 1 species
UACGUAGGGUGCAAGCGUUGUCCGGAAUUAUUGGGCGUAAAGAGCUCGUAGGCGGUUUGUUGCGUCGGCUGUGAAAACCUGAGGCUCAACCUCAAGCCUGCAGUCGAUACGAGCAGACUAGAGUGUUGCAGGGGAGACUGGAAUUCCUGGUGUAGCGGUGAAAUGCGCAGAUAUCAGGAGGAACACCGGUGGCGAAGGCGGGUCUCUGGGCAACAACUGACGCUGAGGAGCGAAAGCGUGGGGAGCGAACAGG